UACGUAGGGUGCAAGCGUUGUCCGGAAUUAUUGGGCGUAAAGAGCUCGUAGGCGGCUCGUCGCGUCGACCGUGAAAACCCGCGGCUUAACUGCGGGCUUGCGGUUGAUACGGGCGGGCUAGAGUUCGGUAGGGGAGACUGGAAUUCCUGGUGUAGCGGUGAAAUGCGCAGAUAUCAGGAGGAACACCGGUGGCGAAGGCGGGUCUCUGGGCCGAUACUGACGCUGAGACGCGAAAGCGUGGGGAGCAAACAGG
rnacentral:rRNA from 1 species